rnacentral:piRNA from 1 species
UGGAACCCUAAACCAUGUUUUCAUUGGUGGU